rnacentral:rRNA from 2 species
CCAUAGUAACUGCGAGUGAAGAGGGAAGAGCUCAAAUUUUGAAUCUGGCGGCGUUCUGCCGUCCGAGUUGUAAUCUAGAGAAGCGUCUUCCGCGCUGGACCGUGUACAAGUCUCCUGGAAGGGAGCGUCAUAGAGGGUGAGAAUCCCGUCUCUGACACGGACUACCAGUGCUAUGUGAUGCGCUCUCGACGAGUCGAGUUGUUUGGGAAUGCAGCUCAAAACGGGUGGUAAAUUCCAUCUAAAGCUAAAUACAUGCGAGAGACCGAUAGCGAACAAGUACCGUGAGGGAAAGAUGAAAAGAACUUUGGAAAGAGAGUUAAACAGUACGUGAAAUUGCUGAAAGGGAAACGCUUGAUGUCAGUCGCGUCGGCCGGGGAUCAACCUUGCUUCUCGCUGGGUGUACUUCUCGGUCGACGGGUCAGCAUCAGUUUCGGUCGCCGUACAAGGGCGAGGGGAAUGUGGCACUCUUCGGAGUGUGUUAUAGCCUCUCGUCGUAUGCGGCGCUCGGGACUGAGGAACUCAGCACGGCUUCGGUCUGUGCUUAGGAUGCUGGCAUAAUGGCCUUAAGCGACCCGUCUUGAAACACGGACCAAGGAGUCUAACAUGCCUGCGAGUGUUUGGGUGGCAAACCCGAGCGCACAACGAAAGUG